rnacentral:tRNA from 1 species
UCCCUGGUGGUCCAGUGGUUAGGACUUCAUGCUUCCGCUGCCAACGGCCUGGGUUCAAUCCCUGGUCAGGGAA